UGAAUACGAGAUGCUACGGCAUUGAAGCAGUGUAUGUCAGACUUCCAAGAAAAGCUCGCAAUGUCAUAAACAAUAAAUGCCUGUACCAUAACCGACACAGGUGGGUAGGUAGAGUAUACUAAGGGGCGCGAGAUAACUCUCUCUAAGGAACUCGGCAAAAUGACUCCGUAACUUCGGGAGAAGGAGUGCCUUAUUUAUAAGGUUGCAAUAACAAGAUCCAAGCAACUGUUUACCAAAAACACAGGUCUCCGCUAAGUCGAAAGACGAUGUAUGGGGGCUGACGCCUGCCCAGUGCCAGAAGGUUAAAGAAGUUGGUUAGCUUCGGCGAAGCUGAUGACUGAAGCCCUGGUGAACGGCGGCCGUAACAAUAACGGUCCUAAGGUAGCGAAAUUCCUUGUCGGGUAAGUUCCGACCCGCACGAAAGGCGUAAUGAUUUGGAUACUGUCUCGGAGAGGGGCUCGGUGAAAUAGACUUGUCUGUGAAGAUGCGGACUACCUGCACCUGGACAGAAAGACCCUAUGAAGCUUUACUGUAACUUGAGAUUGAAAUUGGACUUUAUUUGCGCAGUAUAGGUGGGAGACGUUGAGAAUAUUCUUGCGGGAAUAUUGGAGUCAUCAGUGAGAUACCACUCUUGUAAUGUUAGAUUUCUAACUUUGUAUCAUUAUCUGGUCAAAGGACAGUUUCAGGCGGGCAGUUUGACUGGGGCGGUCGCCUCCUAAACGGUAACGGAGGCGCACAAAGGUUUCCUCUGAACGUGUAGAAAUCGUAUCUAGAGUGUAAAGGCAUAAGGAAGCUUGACUGUGAGACCUACAAGUCGAGCAGGGACGAAAGUCGGUCUUAGUGAUCUGACGGUGCUGAGUGGAAAGGCCGUCACUCAACGGAUAAAAGUUACUCUAAGGAUAACAGGCUGAUCUCCCCCAAGAGUUCACAUCGACGGGGAGGUUUGGCACCUCGAUGUCGGCUCAUCGCAUCCUGGGGCGGUAGUACGUCCCAAGGGUUGGGCUGUUCGCCCAUGAAAGCGGUACGCGAGCUGGGUUCAGAACGUCGUGAGACAGUUCGGUCCAUAUCCGGUGUAGGCGUUAGAAUAUUGAGAGGAGCCUUCUUUAGUACGAGAGGACCGAGAAGGACAUACCUCUGGUGUACCAGUUAUCGUGCCAACGGUAAACGCUGGGUAGCUAUGUAUGGAGUGGAUAACCGCUGAAAGCAUCUAAGUGGGAAGCCCACCUCAAGAUAAG
rnacentral:rRNA from 1 species